UCCUGAGACCUCAACACCACCUGAACUUGCCUUAAAACACAUGAAAAUAAUGCUUAGAAAGUGUAAGAAGUCAAUUUUCAGAAUAAGGAAAAAAUGUGAGAGACCACAGCUAAGUAAAUACAUGGAAAGAAAGACUAGACACUAGAGGAAUGGACACAAAAAUGUGGAGGUACCUCAAAGGAAACCAUAAUCAACAAACACAAAGAGAGACGUUGCUGGAAAAACUUUGCAGUUCCACAAAAUCUCAAGAAGCCAAGCCACAAGUCUAUAGUUGUAGCAGCUGUUAAUUUCACAGCCAUGGAAGACAUGGCAUUUGAAGAUGUGCCGACAAAGUACAAAAGUCGAACAGCAAGGUUGAUUUCCCUCUGCUGGACAUGCCCUAGCUUUGGACUACUUUGUACUGACCACCCCAGCUGCACAACAGAAGACAUUGUCUGAUGUCUGUAGCAGAGAAUGCAGUACAUGUGGACAGAAAGGAGGGAAGAGGCGAAAAAGAAGAAGAAAGGAGCUUCCCCUUGCUUGCUUGCCUCAUGCAGAUGUCUCUUUAUGGAUGGCCUGCUUCUCCCCUUUGGUUUAGAGUCUGCUCUUAGAAAAGAUUGAAUAAAUGCAGCUUUGCACAUCUUUUUUUUGUCCUCCUCCUAAAAGC